GCGACGAACCGGGCUUCGGCCCGGGGCAAAGCCGCGAACGGGUGAGUAACACGUGGGUAACCUGCCCCGUUGACCGGGACAACCCGAGGAAACUCGGGCUAAUACCGGAUGAGCUCGCAUCCCAUCAGGGUUGUGAGGAAAGGAAGCUUCGGCCUCCGCAUCGGGAUGGGCCCGCGGCCCAUUAGCUUGUUGGUGGGGUAAUGGCCUACCAAGGCUGCGAUGGGUAGCUGGUCUGAGAGGACGAUCAGCCACACUGGGACUGAGACACGGCCCAGACUCCUACGGGAGGCAGCAGUGGGGAAUCUUGCGCAAUGCGCGAAAGCGUNNCGCAGCAACGCCGCGUGUGGGAAGACGGCCUUCGGGUUGUAAACCACUU
rnacentral:rRNA from 1 species